CCUACGGGCGGCAGCAGUGGGGAAUAUUGCACAAUGGGGGAAACCCUGAUGCAGCGACGCCGCGUGAGUGAAGAAGUAAUUCGUUACGUAAAGCUCUAUCAGCAGGGAAGAAACACUGACCUUACGGUCAGCAGACGGUACCUGAGUAAGAAGCACCGGCUAACUACGUACCAGCAGCCGCGGUAAUACGUAGGGGGCAAGCGUUAUCCGGAUUUACUGGGUGGAAAGGGAGCGUAGGCGGUGCGCCAAGUCUGGAGUGAAAUGCCGCAGCUUAACUGCGGAACUGCUUUGGAAACUGGCGAACUAGAGUGCGGGAGGGGUAAGCGGAAUUCCUAGUGUAGCGGUGAAAUGCGUAGAUAUUAGGAGGAACACCGGUGGCGAAGGCGGCUUACUGGACCGUAACUGACGUUGAGGCUCGAAAGCGUGGGGAGCAAACAGGAUUAGAUACCCGUGUAGUC
rnacentral:rRNA from 1 species